rnacentral:rRNA from 1 species
UACGUAGGGGGCGAGCGUUGUCCGGAAUUAUUGGGCGGAAAGAGCUCGUAGGCGGUUUGUCGCGUCGACUGUGAAAACCUACAGCUUAACUGUGGGCUUGCAGUCGAUACGGGCAGACUUGAGUUCGGUAGGGGAGACUGGAAUUCCUGGUGUAGCGGUGAAAUGCGCAGAUAUCAGGAGGAACACCGGUGGCGAAGGCGGGUCUCUGGGCCGAUACUGACGCUGAGGAGCGAAAGCGUGGGGAGCGAACAGG